rnacentral:rRNA from 1 species
CACGUAGGCACCAAGCGUUAUCCGGAUUUAUUGGGCGUAAAGCGCACGUAGGCGGCUUGGCAAGUCGGAUGUGAAAUCCCUCGGCUCAACCAAGGAAGUGCAUCCGAAACUGCUGAGCUUGAGUACGAAAGAGGAUCGCGGAAUUCCCGGUGUAGAGGUGAAAUUCGUAGAUAUCGGGAGGAACACCAGUGGCGAAGGCGGCGAUCUGGGUCGAUACUGACGCUGAGGUGCGAAAGCGUGGGGAGCAAACAGG